ensembl:lncRNA
CAUGGAUGUUGUCCCGGUAGAACGUCAGGCCUGUCUGUCACGGCAGGGCGGGGGCAGGAGGUGGAACGCCCCCUCCCUGCCGCGGGGAACACUUCCUGUUGCCUGUCCUGCCGAACCCCCGAGAAUAUAUCCUCCCUCAGGAACACAACUGGGAACAUACAUAUAUGCAUUUAUACAAAUUACGUACAGAAAUACAUACAAACCCACGGUUCCACGCUAUACACCCGAUCGCGCUCUCAAGCCCGUUUGCUUCUGACGCCCCAUGCAUGUCGUCAUGGUGAUCCUCGCCGUCGUCACCCUCGUUGUUAACUGUGAAUAAGUGGCGCUUUGUGAUUUCGAGGUUUGCCCUCGCCCUACUCCCCUGCUUCUUUCUAACCCAGUAUCGAUAGAAGCUAAUAUGCUAAUAAGUUGAUUCAUCCUCAACAAGCCAAAUGGACAGAUUAAUAAACAUUCAAAUUGUUCCUGAAGAAAAUAUAUUAUUUCACACAAAUAAUUUAUCAAAAGAAAGAAAAUGAAAAAAUGUAGCACUUAAACGGGAGCUCAAAUGGUAAAAAUUAGCCUUAGGGCAGUGCUUGCUUAUUAAAAAUGGCCUCAUCUGAUUGGUUCAAAUCGCCUAAUGCGGAGUUACACCAAUCAGGAAUCACGUAUCAGUGCUGUCCCCACGGUUUAACUUUACUAUUUGGUCCCUCUUUAAAUUUGCACUUCAAAAUAAAAGACUCAUUAAAACGUAAUGAGGCAGUAACAUUGGCGUGCAGUAAAGAUUCUGUCUUUUGGUAAAAACAAAAAGAAAGUAAGCUAAUAUAAAUAAGCUAACGGUUUAGGAAUGUCUUUAGGAUUUGAAAAUAAGCUAAUUCAGAAUCUGUCCGAAAUGAAAGUGUAUGUGUUGUCCAAAUUAUAAAGUCCCAAUCAGAAAAGUUACUUGUUUGCCCCAAUUGUACAUUAGUUGGAACAGUUCAUUUUAUGAUGUGCAUGCAUGCUGCAUUUAGCUGUAAGCUUAUUUUAUGUCGAGCUUACGUUUUCAUUUACACAGUAUUGAAAAUAUUAUUCACAUUAAAUGUGAAAACUAGUAAUUGAAAUGUGUUGAAUAUAUGCGGACCUGACAUAUAUUUCUCAUACCAAAAAUGUGUUCCAAUCAGAUUAGUAUUUAAAGGUUGGGUAUGGAAUUCUCUUUUUUGGCCAUUUUUACAAAAUUACUUGAAAUCCUUAUCGUAAUCCACUUACAGCCACUGAGUUAGAAGUACUGACAUGAAAAUUAAACGAGUCAAUCAUCUGUGGAACGGGCAGGGCUCGAAAAACUCCAGCCAAUGAUUUCCAGAACCACCGAGUGGCAUUGGACAGUAAGUACGUCAAUCAAACGGUCGUACUGCACUCCCCCUCCCCUGCUCCCCGCGUGUGACCCCUUCGUGCACGUACUCAAAGCUCGUGACCCAGAGCAAGCUUCUUUUUGUUGUCAUCCUGCGAUAGCUACUGGAGCUAGCUAACUAGCUAAUCCACAUUUGGACCUAGCGCUAGAAGACAACCCUAAACUCCAACCUAGCUAGCAUGGCUCGCUCUCGCGCAUCUGUGUUCGCUCGUGCAUGAUUGUGCGUCCAUGUACUUGAAAUAGGACUAUUUGAGUUGUGUAUUUUCAAAAUCUGCUAUCGCAAAUCCCAUACCCAACCUUUAAGGCCCCAAACCAUGUUUGCUCUAUGGCACCCCCUGUUGAACCACUUCGGUGUUACGCCUUCAUUGAAUUGAAAGGUUAACAAUUGACAACCGUUCUUAGCAGUAAAACAGUUGGCAUGAUUAUGCAUACCUAUUAUUUGUAAAAACGAUUUUAUUUUGCAUCGCUAAAACGUGUUACCAUGGUAACGAUGAAUUGGCCCUUAAAAAACGACGCCUGGAGUCUGACCCCAGUGUACAUUUCAGAUCAAGUCCCAAAAAUGACAGAAAGAUUCAAUUAGGCUAUCUGUGUCUUUGCCAUCAAAUGCAAAAACGCAAUCGAGCAAAUAAAAAAUCCAUUUACGUAAACGUAUAACGAAAAUACAUAUUACAAAACACAGGUCUGUUUAUAUGAAGGCAGGUUCUGGGAUAUCUCCCGUUUUAAAGACGUAGUUCAGGAGCCGAUCGCAGAAGAUCUCACACAACAUUAUGCAACUUCUUCCUCUGACCGGGACUUCAGUCUGACCAAACAGCAGACCAGAGCUAUGAAACAUUCAUUCAAAUGGUGGCUUUGUCGAUCUAAAUCGCAUAAAAUGUAUGAUUAGUUUUUUUUUGUUCUCCAACAAACUAGUAUUAGCGCCGGUGGUCUAAACGUUACUGAACGGCGAUGAGCUCAAGCUAAAGAUUCAAAACCCAUCCUUCACCCUAACCCAGCUCCCCUCUACCUCCUGGGACUUAAGCUUUGACCUUGGGAAGAGGAGGACUUGUGUAGUUCUGAUAUAGCAAACCACUGCCACCAAACAUGAAUGAUCACAUACACUUCUUAUUUUUUUUCAAUUGUCUUUUAUUUUGAAAAGUCUGGUUUUCACCGACAGGGUUAUCACUUCCAGGGUCAUCCUCUGCUGUUGUCUCAGGGUGCCAAGAUGAAUCUCGCCGCUGACCUCUGGUGCUACUCGCCUCCCGUCGCUUUGCUAGAACCAUCCCUCUGUCGGCCAUCUUUUAUUGCCGUUCACGAUGGUUGGUUCAAACAGGCGUAUUUUUAUUUAUUUGUGUUUGUGUUUUUCUCUAACUAUGCUAUGAAUGAUCUCUUUUUGUGACCGUUUUUUAUUUUUAAUGUUUGUUUGUUUUGCUGCUUUAAAACAAACACUGGCUCUUCGACUCCAAAGGUUGUUCUGAAAGAAUGAGGACAUAACUUGCCUUCUCAUAGAUUGCUCCACUUUAUAUAUAUAUAUAUAUAUAUAUAUAUAUAUAUAUAUUAUAUAUAUAUAUAUAUAUAUAUUACUGGUAUCCUGUUGUCACACAGACGGGCCGCGAUCAAGGCAUUUGAAAAAGGAAAAAAAAGGAUUCUGUUUACAAAAUAUUGUCCCGUCGUACUUUGGCAACUUUGGAUACGAUUGGUCUUUACGGAUGUUUUUGUAGCGCAAGAACAAAAAAAAAAAAAAAAAGAUAAAAAAAAGAAUAACAAUGUUUAUUUUCUCAACUUGUCCUCAAAAAUUCAGCUUUUUCAGGACAAUUUCAGCGUCACAAGGACAGAAGUGCACCUCCGCCUUAUAACCUGCAUACACCAUUCAGCACUCUUGAGUUUCAUGGGCGUAUGCAGAGGCACGGGGCCCUGGGGCCAGAGCUCUAGGGGGCCCCCCUCACUCCCAGCACCCUCAUGCCUGAGUCUCCACAAAGACUGCUCUCACACUUAUCUACCUGUGAAAUCCUUCAUACCUCUUCAUCACUGGUCAAUGACUGUAUCAACAUGCGGUAUCAGGUGUUUUCUACAUCGUUGCUACUCAGAUUAUAUAUGGAUUAAUGUAUUGGUAGCUUUUUUCGGUGACGUUUCUAGGUGUCGGAGCUCCUGAGUUUGUAGAAAAAGUUUUGGUUUUCUUCCGAUUUUCUUUUUACGAUUUUUCUAGAGGACUGUUUUGUGUUAAUAUUGUCGAUUUGAAAUAGCUGUUUGUUUAUUUUAUUUAGCUUAUUCUCUACUAAGAGUUCUUACCUUUUAUCAUUUUUAAAGAUGCUUCAUGACCCUAAUGCAUUUUAAAAUUUAGUAACCUUUGUAAAUACGAAAUGUUGUGUAAAUCCCCCUUUUCAUUCAUUUCAAUUGCUAGUGUUACAUAAGAUACUUUUUUUGCUUAGACACCAUUUCUGUUUAUGAAAUAAAGAAACAUAUCAUGUACACACGUGUCCUGGGCUGUGUUCACGUGUGUCGUAAACCCUUUUAUUAACGUCAACAUACUUAACCUGCAACAAAGUUAAGUUAAAGUGGACUUGCUG